CUGUGAUGCCCUUAGAUGUUCUGGGCCGCACGCGCGCUACACCGACAGAGCCAACGAGUUCAUCACCUUGUCCGAAAGGUCUGGGUAAUCUUGUGAAACUCU
rnacentral:rRNA from 1 species